AGAAGUACAGACCUGAGUAUAAUGGAGACCUCUAGCCUCUAAUCAUGGGCACUAAAGGGGAUUGCAGACUUGAAGGGGUUGAACCAACUACCUGCAGUCAUGGGCAUUCAAUGUUUUGUAAGAGACAACCAGUCCAUUCAAAGAUGCAGGCAGGGGGAGAAGGAUGGCCAUGUUCGCCAAAGCAUGAUGGAAGAUGUUGAUGAAACCACACUGUUGAAACAAAUGGAGCAGGAGAAAAUGCCUCCUCCUCCAAAACCAAAGGAAAUAUUUGUGAGUGAAAGGUGUUGCUAUUAAUCCUUAGUCAGGAACAACCACCAUAAACCAAGAAUAUCCCAGGCUGUAUUCAAAGCUGCAAUAAAUAGAGAUUGACUCAUCCUGGGCUAUCUUCUUCUCCCAUUUCCUUACGAGUCUGGGAAAGGUGGGUGACUGAGGCAUGGAGACUUGGAUGUAGGAAAUAGAAACCCUGAAAAGUGGAAAGCAGACAUGCAACAUUGGAGCAUGGCAUGCCCCCCACUGACAAGGUACUGGCAGCAAAAAAGAUCCAGUCCUGGUGGUGGGGCACACUGGUGCAAUGCACACUACUGCACACGACCCUCAGAGCUUUGAUCAUUCAGUGCUGGUGGAGGCAGGUGCUGGCGAGGCUGCAGGCAAAGAGGCAGCGGGCGGCGCUGGAGUUCUGUGCAUGGCAGCUAUGGACAGCAGUCAGGCUGCAGUCCUGGGUCUGCAUGUGGCAUGUCCGCUGGCGUUACUGCCGUUUGCUCAGUGCUGUCCGGAUCAUCCAGAUCUAUUGGCGCUGGAGAAGUUGCCAUACUCAUGGCUUUUUCCAUGGCAGCUACGAGCUCACAACAAGCCAGCUGAGCCUUGAGCUUGGCGUCUUCCUGGGAUCACAGGUUUGCCGAAUUACAGACUGCAUCCCCUUCCCAAUAAAGAACUGACUAGGUCUGCUCCAA